GCUUUGGUAGUCCAGUUGGUUAGUACGCGUCUCCAGAAAGAGUGAAAUACGGGUUCGAUUCCCGCCCGAAGUU